rnacentral:rRNA from 1 species
UACGUAGGAUCCGAGCGUUGUCCGGAUUUACUGGGUGUAAAGGGUGCGCAGGCGGACUGGUAAGUCAGAGGUGAAAUCUCGUCGCUCAACGACGAAACUGCCUUUGAUACUAUCAGUCUUGAAUCCGGUAGAGAUCUGUGGAAUUCCGAGUGUAGCAGUGAAAUGUGUAGAUAUUCGGAAGAACACCAGUGGCGAAGGCAGCAGAUUGGGCCGGUAUUGACGCUCAUGCACGAAAGCGUGGGGAGCAAACAGG